rnacentral:lncRNA from 1 species
UUCGAACACACAAUGAAUGUCGCUGCAGUUAGACGUAGCGAUCGUGCAUUCCAUUGCCUAUGGCUUCGUCGAUCUUCAGAAAUCAACAACUUUCAUGGAUUUGUACGAAACUUAACCGUAGCUUUGUGUAUUUUCAACAUUGUUCAACAUUAUACUGAUAAAGGAUAUUACUUAGCUGAUUUAUUGUGCAGUUGAUAUAUAGAUAUAAGGUAUAAGUCUCUAUGUUUACAAACAUCAACCUACAUGGAAUUAUACGAAACUUGAAUAGAUGCGUCAUCACGAGACAGUUUUCGAAGUAAAAUACUGAAAAUAUUUUGGUAUUUUACUGAUGAAUACAAUUCGUGUUUUGAUGGCAGAUGACACUUAGAUGUAGACAUCAACAACUCUGUCAACCCUUUAUAGAAUUACUUAGAUUCUAACAAAAGAUGCAUUACAAU